GUGCAAAAGUCAUCACGGUU
rnacentral:miRNA from 1 species